UAUUAUCGCAUACGCUCUUGAGCGUGUGCGAUAGUACCCGAAAGAUGGUGAACUAUGCCUGGGCAGGGCGAAGCCAGAGGAAACUCUGGUGGAGGCCCGUAGCGGUCCUGAUGUGCAAAUCGGUCGUCCGACCUGGGCAUAGGGGCGAAAGACUAAUCGAACCAUCUAGUAGCUGGUUCCCUCCGAAGGCGCUCAUUACUCGCAGUUUUAUCUGGUAAAGCGAAUGACUAGAGGCCUUGGGGCCGAAACGAUCUCAACCUAUUCUCAAACUUUAAAUGGGUAAGAGGCCCUGCUCGCUGGCUUGGAGCAGGGCGUGGAAUGCGAGUGCCCAGUGGGCCACUUUUGGUAA